GACGAACGCUGGCGGCGUGCUUAACACAUGCAAGUCGAACGGAAAGGCCCUGCUUUUGUGGGGUGCUCGAGUGGCGAACGGGUGAGUAACACGUGAGUAACCUGCCCUUGACUUUGGGAUAACUUCAGGAAACUGGGGCUAAUACCGGAUAGGAGCUCCUGCUGCAUGGUGGGGGUUGGAAAGUUUCGGCGGUUGGGGAUGGACUCGCGGCUUAUCAGCUUGUUGGUGAGGUAGUGGCUUACCAAGGCUUUGACGGGUAGCCGGCCUGAGAGGGUGACCGGCCACAUUGGGACUGAGAUACGGCCCAGACUCCUACGGGAGGCAGCAGUGGGGGAUAUUGCACAAUGGGCGGAAGCCUGAUGCAGCAACGCCGCGUGCGGGAUGACGGCCUUCGGGUUGUAAACCUCUUUCGCCUGUGACGAAGCGUGAGUGACGGUAAUGGGUAAAGAAGCACCGGCUAACUACGUG
rnacentral:rRNA from 1 species